rnacentral:rRNA from 1 species
UACGUAGGUGGCGAGCGUUAUCCGGAAUGAUUGGGCGUAAAGGGUGCGCAGGCGGUCCUGCAAGUCUGGAGUGAAACGUAUGAGCUCAACUCAUGCAUGGCUCUGGAAACUGGAGGACUGGAGAGCAGGAGGGGGCGGUGGAACUCUAUGUGUAGCGGUAAAAUGCGUAGAUAUAUGGAAGAACACCAGUGGCGAAGGCGGCUUUCUGGACUGAAACUGACGCUGAGGCACGAAAGCGUGGGGAGCAAAUAGG